UCAAAGAUUCAGCAGAGGCAGACUUGCUUCUGUGAGCUUUUUUAACAUGUAAGUGACAUUUCCCUGCGUUUAAAUAUGGCUUUGUUAGGCUGUGCCUGCAAUCAGAAUGCAAAAAAAGCCCUGCUGUUAGAACCCGAAACCAAAGAGAAAUAGAUCCUUCUUUAGUUUCACUCUUGAAAUAGGAAGUCAAAGGAAAGCCAGAAUCAGAGAAAUCAAAUUAGAUUUAAAAUUCUUGUGAGCUCUCGGAAUGCAAGAUCAGGAUACACAUUUCGUCCUGAACAACUAAACCAAACAAAGCACGACACCAUUUAAUCAGGCCGUGACGGAUAAGUGGGGCCGUGGAUGUGUGCUGGACUUCGUGGUUUAAGAAAUCGUGUUAGGAAACUAGCUCGGGAAACCAGCUCACCAGGUCCCCGCAUUUCUCAUUUCCAGAGGGCAAGAAUAAUCAAGACCCUGCGGCAGAUGAGGACCGGGCUCUGUAAGUGGACAGACCCCUCAAGGCGGACCUGGGGUUCAAAUAAAGGUCUUCUGACAUCCGCUGCAAUUUAUCAGAAGACUCCCCAACCUUUUCUGGUGAUUUACAAGUCAGAAGGAACCGGUGGGGAGGGAGAAAAAAUCAGAGGAGAAGUGAAGCCUGCACCAUCCCAUUGAUGUCGAGAAACUGCAAUUCCUAUUAAGAACACUUGACUGUUUACUCAGCACGAGAACUUCAGCCUCAGUCUGCAUCAAUCUAAAUGCGUUUCGAGACGUCAGGCCCCCGAAAAGUGCAGACGAGGAGAAGGCUAAUCCACACCAUGGCUACAAAGCAAUGGCUGUUCCCUCCAAAGCUCUGCCAGCUCUAAGAAGGAGCAACCACAGCGAUGGUGGCAAUUGUGGCAUUAAAGACAACAUCCUUCGCUUAUCACAACAGUUUAGAAAGUACCUUUGGGUCUUCAUUAUCUCCAGCGACACGGGGGGAACCGAGGCCAGGGGGGAACCGAGGCCAGGGGAGGAAGAGCGGGUAAUCUCUGCACGGUCCCAUGAAUAAUAACCUGAACUUGGGUUCCGAUCAGGACUUCUGCAUCCGAAUGCAAGGCCACCCAGUGGUUUUCAUGAGGACGUGCUGCUGCUUUCUUUCCUCCUGGGGCCUGGAACCUUGUGAGCCUGAAUCCAGAAACAAACCCCAGCCAAGUUUGUUUUCAUGAAAUUGAAAGCCAAGAAGUCAAGCCCAUGGACUGGCUUCUAGCGAACUGAAUAUUAAAAAGGUAUUACAAGGAGAAUCCACCUGCCUGGCUGAUUGUUUCUUCCCCAAAUGGAUGAGAUGAUGAACGAAUGCUUUCAUUUACAUCAACAAUCAGUUGAAAGGGCUUCGCCAAAUGUGAGCCUUCGUAUUUGAUGACUUCCUGAUUGUAACCAUAAAUAACAAUAUUUUCAUUGUGAGGUAAUAAACAUCAUUACCCCGUGUUUUAGGUGAGUGGGCACUUAUCAGGGAAGGGAGGAGAUAAGGAAGCUAAAGGUGAGUGCACAGCAGGAAGGGAAAAAGAUAACCUUGCAAAUUUAAGGUGUGUAAUAAAUGCCUCUGCCAAGAACCCGUAAUUGGUAAACAAGAUGAGGUUUUUGACUCAUACCAGGUUAACUUGAGCAAAUGAAAUGUGCCAAGGCAGAAACACGAUUUCAUUCACCCUGCGAGCCUGUGUCGAGGCAGCAUGUGUGCCAGGCUCGGUCCCUGAGAGGUGGUCUGGCUGGAUGACAAGAACACACCCAGACGAGCCGUGACAGCGUCACGUGAUGAAAACGCCCAAGCAAAGAAGCCACGUUUCAGUUAGUCUCUUUCGGUGUGGACACUCUCAGGUCCUGCGGUUGGUUUUAUUGCUCUAUUCUUUGGAUUUGUUUUGUCUUUUGGUAGGUUUUAAAAUUCUGGGUUUUAGUUUUGAAUUCUUUCAUUGAGGUCUGACCUACCUUCAUAAGGCUCAUGAAACUUCAGUCCCAAGAUGAUCAUUUUUUAUGUUAUCCAGAGCAAGACACAGAAUCUUCCAGCACUCUACAGGUGGAGUCUUCUUGAUUUUUAAAUGGGAGUCGUGGAAUAAAACAAAUAUUUUAAACCCAAGAGCAAGGUACAUUCUGCAUAAACAUUGGGGAUAAAAUAUCAGAGACAAAAGGAAUAAUGCAUUGGAAAAAUGUCACGUUGGGCAAAUGUCAGCACAGGUGUCAGCACAGACGCACGUGAGUUUAAAACUCAGCAUUGCCAUUUACAAUCUAGGUGUUUCUAGAAAACUUGUCCUACCUCUUUGAGACUCCAAUUCCUCAUCUGCAAAACGCACAUAACAAUACCCUCUUGUGAGGCUGAUAGUGACAGUUCCUCAGGUAACUGUGGCGGCACAUGUGGAACAGGCUGCCUGCACCUUGCCCACCUGAGCUGGUAUUGCGAUGUGUUGUGAUGACAACAAUGAUGCAAAGACUAUACUUGCAGUGAGUCCCCAGUUUGUGUAAACCCCACCCCCCAUAAUGGAUUUACUUGUCAGAAGCAAAUAAAAUUCAUAAAAGAAGAGGGACAACCUGGUGAUGGAUGAGCUUACACUGUGGAGUGAAAAUGCGACAUGGAGACUACGUAGGAAAUCUGGGAUUUGUAGAUGAUAGAUGCCCACCUUCAUAUGUUUUGUCCCAUAACUUCUGUGCUCUUUGCCACCUCAGCCUUUUCAUGCACUGGGAACAAUGGACCUCCCUCUUGACAAGCUGACAUGAGAAUGUGUUUUCAACUGGUUUUCCAACAAGGAGAGGAGAUUCUCAGCUUAGGAAUUUCUCUUUGUUGUUUUGAAUCUCAUCAUGGAUUACUCCCCUGUGAUUGGGUAAUUUUAUAUGUCCACUUGGCUGGGCUAAAGAUGUUUGGUUAAACAUGAUUCAGGAUGCUUCUGUGAGGGUUUUUUUUGGAUGAGACUGGCAUUUAAAUCAGUAGACUUUGAGUAAAACAGAUUACCUUCCACCAUGUGGGUGGGCCCCGUUUAAUCAGUUGAAGGCCUUGAUAGAACAAAGAUUGACCUUCCCUGAGAGAGAAGGAAAUCUGCCACCAGAGGGCCUUUGGACUAGAAUUAUGACUGUUCCCUAGGUCUUCAGCCUACCAACCAACCCUGUAGAUUUUGGAUUUAUUCAACUACCAUGAUCACAUGAGGCACUUCCUUAAAAUAAAUCUUUCUCUCUCUAAAUAAAUGCAACAUCCUGUUCUCUUUCUUUGGAGAAUCCUGACUAACACACCCCCCCAGAAAGGAAGCCAGUCUAAUUUUGUUGGGGUUCAUGAUGCUAGGCAACAACGAUCUCUUUAAAAGCAAAGAAUUUCCUUCAAAAUCCUGAUGGCCUGCGUUGGAGUUGUGGUAUGGACACUUCCCAAUGAUGUGACAGCCUCAGGAAGGUGAUGUAGCCUCUCUGAGCCUCCAGUGAUGGCUGGAGGCAGUGAUAUCCCAGCCUACUUGACAGAAUUCAAUGAUGAGCCAUAUUACAUCCUGGUUGAUGGUGAACACUGUCCAAAUGUUGAUUCCUCUUCCUUCUUCAUUCUAAAAGCAGACCGCUGGGACGAAAGCUCAGCAGUUCCCCCAGCUUUGCAAACUCCAGAACAUUCUUUCCAACAUGGCAGGCGGACAAAGACAAGUCGAUGGGAAGAGUGACUGAAAUACCCAUUCUUUUUUCUUCCUUUAAUUCAAACUUUAUUUGUGCAGUGACGUGUCAUCAGAAAUUGGCCAAACAUUUGAUGGCAAUGAAGGAAUAACAGAAGAAAUAUAAUAAACAAUUGGCGAAAUAAAAUUAAAUAAAAUAUAA